GGACAUCGGAGGACAUGUUUGUG
rnacentral:misc_RNA from 1 species